AGGCUUAACACAUGCAAGUCGAGGGGCAUCAGGAAGAAAGCUUGCUUUCUUUGCUGGCGACCGGCGCACGGGUGAGUAACACGUAUCCAACCUGCCCUUUACUCGGGGAUAGCCUUUCGAAAGAAAGAUUAAUACCCGAUAGCAUAAUGAUUCCGCAUGGUUUCAUUAUUAAAGGAUUCCGGUAAAGGAUGGGGAUGCGUUCCAUUAGGUUGUUGGUGGGGUAACGGCCCACCAAGCCUUCGAUGGAUAGGGGUUCUGAGAGGAAGGUCCCCCACAUUGGAACUGAGACACGGUCCAAACUCCUACGGGAGGCAGCAGUGAGGAAUAUUGGUCAAUGGGCGCUAGCCUGAACCAGCCAAGUAGCGUGAAGGAUGAAGGCUCUAUGGGUCGUAAACUUCUUUUAUAUAAGAAUAAAGUGCAGUAUGUAUACUGUUUUGUAUGUAUUAUAUGAAUAAGGAUCGGCUAACUCCGUGCCAGCAGCCGCGGUAAUACGGAGGAUCCGAGCGUUAUCCGGAUUUAUUGGGUUUAAAGGGAGCGUAGGUGGACUGGUAAGUCAGUUGUGAAAGUUUGCGGCUCAACCGUAAAAUUGCAGUUGAUACUGUCAGUCUUGAGUACAGUAGAGGUGGGCGGAAUUCGUGGUGUAGCGGUGAAAUGCUUAGAUAUCACGAAGAACUCCGAUUGCGAAGGCAGCUCACUGGACUGCAACUGACACUGAUGCUCGAAAGUGUGGGUAUCAAACAGGAUUAGAUACCCUGGUAGUCCACACAGUAAACGAUGAAUACUCGCUGUUUGCGAUAUACAGUAAGCGGCCAAGCGAAAGCAUUAAGUAUUCCACCUGGGGAGUACGCCGGCAACGGUGAAACUCAAAGGAAUUGACGGGGGCCCGCACAAGCGGAGGAACAUGUGGUUUAAUUCGAUGAUACGCGAGGAACCUUACCCGGGCUUAAAUUGCAGUGGAAUGAUGUGGAAACAUGUCAGUGAGCAAUCACCGCUGUGAAGGUGCUGCAUGGUUGUCGUCAGCUCGUGCCGUGAGGUGUCGGCUUAAGUGCCAUAACGAGCGCAACCCUUAUCUUCAGUUACUAACAGGUCAUGCUGAGGACUCUGGAGAGACUGCCGUCGUAAGAUGUGAGGAAGGUGGGGAUGACGUCAAAUCAGCACGGCCCUUACGUCCGGGGCUACACACGUGUUACAAUGGGGGGUACAGAAGGCAGCUAGCGGGUGACCGUAUGCUAAUCCCAAAAGCCUCUCUCAGUUCGGAUCGAAGUCUGCAACCCGACUUCGUGAAGCUGGAUUCGCUAGUAAUCGCGCAUCAGCCACGGCGCGGUGAAUACGUUCCCGGGCCUUGUACACACCGCCCGUCAAGCCAUGGGAGCCGGGGGUACCUGAAGUACGUAACCGCAAGGAUCGUCCUAGGGUAAAACUGGUGACUGGGGCUAAAA
rnacentral:rRNA from 1 species